AAGCUCAAUUUAAAAUCUGGUGGUCUUCGGCCAUCCGAGUUGUAAUCUAGAGAAGUGUUACCCGCGUCGGACCGUGUACAAGUCUCCUGGAAUGGAGCGUCAUAGAGGGUGAGAAUCCCGUCUUUGACACGGACUACCGAGGCUUUGUGGUGCGCUCUCAAAGAGUCGAGUUGUUUGGGAAUGCAGCUCAAAAUGGGUGGUAAAUUCCAUCUAAAGCUAAAUAUUGGCGAGAGACCGAUAGCGAACAAGUACCGUGAGGGAAAGAUGAAAAGAACUUUGGAAAGAGAGUUAAACAGUACGUGAAAUUGCUGAAAGGGAAACGCUUGAAGUCAGUCGCGUUGGCCGGAAAUCAGCCUUGCUUUUGCGGGGUGUACUUUCUGGUUGACGGGCCAGCAUCAGUUUUGACCGGUGGAAAAAGUCCAAGGGAAUGUGGCAUCUUCGGAUGUGUUAUAGCCCUUGUUCGUAUACAUCGAUUGGGACUGAGGAACUCAGCACGCCGAAAGGCCGGGUCUUUGACCACGUUCGUGCUUAGGAUGCUGGCAUAAUGGCUUUAAUCGACCCGUCUUGAAACACGGACCAAGGAGUCUAACAUGCCUGCGAGUGUUUGGGUGGAAAACCCGGACGCGCAAUGAAAGUGAAAGUUGAGAUCCUUGUCAUGGGGAGCAUCGACGCCCGGACCAGAAGUUUUCUGACGGCCCUGCGGUAGAGCAUGUAUGUUGGGACCCGAAAGAUGGUGAACUAUGCCUGAAUAGGGUGAAGCCAGAGGAAACUCUGGUGGAGGCUCGUAGCGAUUCUGACGUGCAAAUCGAUCGUCAAAUUUGGGUAUAGGGGCGAAAGACUAAUCGAACCAU
rnacentral:rRNA from 1 species